GUUAAAAAUCAUCAUUUGUGUUCUACUGAAGAAACAAAGUCACCUACAUCUUGGAUGCCCUGAGGGUAAGCAGAUAAACAUCACAUUUUCAUUUUUGGGUGAACUAAUAAAGACACAAACUCUCAUUUCACGGUAAAACGCAAUGAAUGUGAAUCACGCUUUUUUUUUUUUUUUUUUCAAAAACAGCAUCUCUCUUCAGGGAAAACCAAUAAAGGAAAACAUUUGUCGAGCGCAACUCCUAGUGGAAAUUAUAGAACGCAUAGGAAGAAAAUCUACAUGAGAUAUUGCUUAAUUCUUCGUCAGGUACUAAUUUGCAGAGGCAAUUGCGGGUUAAUCUAGUUAAUUAUUCCAUAUGCAAGUUUUAAGUGAGUAAUUACUUGCAUUACUGUGCUAACUAGCUGAAGAGGCUAGUCGGCCGAUAAUAUAUUAUAUAUAAUAUUUAUUUUAAGGUGAAGUAGUUACAUUGUAAUUAGAAAAAGCUCUGGGUAAUAUUAAAUAAUUAAUAAAAACAAUAAAACAAUGUAUGGUUAAAGUCCCCCUGUAAUCAAUUAUUUUAUCCCUUAAAACUCAUCUUUGAUCACCAAAAUGACAUAUUUUAAAAACAAUUCAAGUGAAAAAAUUUCUUAAUGCAUUAUAAUAGCUUGAAUGUAACUCUACACCCUUGCCUCAUUUAAUAUACACGGAACAAUGAAUAUGCAAACUAGCCCCGCCUCCACUCGCUCAUGCCAGCUCGGAGAGUCUUCUGUUGCUAUAGUGACGAGCAAUUUGUUGUUUGUGUUGUGGCUACAUGAAAUACAUGCACAUCCUUGAAUGAUCCUUCUCACUGUUGAGAAUCGGGCCGCCCAAGAACACGAUUAUGAAUAUUCUGAAUAAAGAUAUGCAUUAGACAUAGUUUAGCGUCAUUGUGAGCAAGAGAUAAACACAUAAACAUUAAAUCAGUACAAUUCACGAACGCCGUAAACAGACUGACAUGUCGAAAACAGCGAGUGCAGCUUCAGCAUCCGGUCUAGUGUUUGUGUGUGAGCGUGGAUCAGGAUUACAACCGCUCAAAAAAAAAACAUGAUUAAAUUAUAUGUAAAGAAUAAAAUGAAUUAUAAAAACAUGUAUGGCUAAAAAUCUCUGUUUUCUGCUGGUAUCUGAGCAUGUGGCAUGGACUACUGACGCUCAGCUUACUGUCCUCAGGUCGAGGCAUUUGCUGGUACUGUGUGUGACAGAAGCAGAGAGACUGUAUGAAUGUUGUGUGUUUUGUAUGAUGACACACACUGUCCCAAACUGGUGCAGAGGUGGGCGAAGGGAACUCUCCAGCACGGGUCCUCUUUAUAAAGAGGGUCUCCAUUUAUCUGUUGAUGCAAUGAAAAUAAAAUCUCAUAUUAGACUCAGACGGUCUGUGUGGCAAGAAUAACUGGAGCUGACACAGGCAGGAACGCUUCAGCUGUAACACACACAAAAGCGUGAUUAUCAGGUCUAAGCCCAAAAGAUCCAGUACUACACACCUGUGGAAGGGAAAUCAGAUGCACCUUCUCACCGUGACAGAUAAAGACACAUUGAAAGAAAUGCCAGUAUGAGAAGAAGAAAAUGAAUUUAAAGGUGCUCUAGAUUGUAAAAUUGUAAAAAAAAAAAAAAAAAAAAAAAAAAAAAAAGAGGUGUAUUCUCAUUCCUAGAUGUACAACAUUCUUUCAGGAGAGCUGUUAAUGUGUCUUUUAUGGGAAUAUACUAGGCAUGUCACUCCUUUCUGUUUUCAUCAAUCCCCCCAAAAAUGCAUUUUGGAUCCACAAAAGUUAUCAAAGUACUGUUUUCUCUGUUAUCCAUGCCAUCUAGGGUUUUCAAAACAUCUUCAAUUUCUGUCUCAGAGAGUUUAGUUUUUGUUUGAAGAGCUACUUUUAGUUGAUUCUUUGUGUACUGCUGGCACACUCCACUAACUUAUUAAUCUCUUCUAUGAUUAACUGUACUGUGGAGGAAGGGAUCAGGUGCUUCGCCUGCAACUUCAUGUAAAACAUGGACAGAUUUCUCAUAUAUAAGCUCUUCAUUUGUGCAGGGUCUAGUAUAUCCUCCUCACCCCAUCAUCAUCUGCCCCUUCAUCUGAGUGUCUUUCAGCAACAGAGAACUGAGACACUACAAACUGAAGGAAGACCGUGAAGACAUGCGAAGCUGUAGAGUAUUUGUGCUUUCUAGAUAGGUGAGAUGUGAAAGAUGAUUUCACUGAAAAUGAGCGAUCACAGUUUUUGAAGGGGCAAUGAACCUGCUCUCUUUCUGAAAUGUGAAAUUUGAGGUUACCCAAAAGAUCUGAAAGAUCGAUCAACUGUCUCUGACAGUUGGUAACUUCACAUUGAAGGGUCCCUGCAGAGACUCGCACUGUGACGCAGAAGAUGACUGCCGAUGAUGACGGUAAACAUGACAAAUUUAAUGUGUUGUAAUUUCUGAAGCGUGACUUGCAACCUGCAUAGAGAUAAUGUGCCUUAUUUCUUUGUAGCCCUUGAUGUUGUACAUAACCUUUUAGGAUUUUCACAGAAACACUACAACUAUUACAAGUGUAAUCUGCAAACAUCUUUACAUGGUGCAGUGAUCACCUUUUGCCCCGAUCUUGACUUUGGCAGCUCACACAACUUAUCUGCAGUGUUGCGAUCACAAAGGAUCACUACAAAUAAGGAGAAGAUGAGUACAUUCAUCUUGCGAAAUAUCUGAGCUUUAUUUUACAUUCAUGCUUAAAAUGAUCUGGGCUUUAUCCAUGUAUGGAGACGAAGAGCUAAAAACAGCCACCAAAUCUGGAGCAGAACAGCCACCAACAGGAAUGAUCUGUUUUUGUAGGGAGCAACGAACACCUAGAAGCCGGUGCUCCCAAUCACGCCACAAUCAGCCCGUCACCUGCAAACAAUAUAGACACAACACACAAAACAAGGAACGGCCAACAGGGGCAUCACAGCAGGAAGAGACAAAAACAAGCAUGCAAGUGUAUGGGACAUGUUAAGAAUAAAAAAAAAAUCCAAAGUAAUAUAUUGAAAAAUGCAUUGUAUCUAAAGCACUGAAUGCUAUCCGUGUAACCAGUAAAUCCCUAUCAGUUUAUGUGCUCCUGUUUCUGUGUGUGCUUCAGUGACUGCAACUAUUUAAUUUAGAGCAGUGAUUAAAGUUACUGAGUAAUGAGAAUUUGUUACAUGUGUAUAAUAACUGUAGUCCAGAGUGAAGUGACUGCGUGUGUGCAAUGAAAAAGUCUUAAUGUUGAAACGGAGACCUCUGGUGGGGAGUGGAAAGAAGCAGCAGUGGGCGGAAACGUGACAGAAAGUGAUGUGGGAGACAGUAAUUGGUCUCCACUUUUGGAGCAAGACAAUGAAUGGUCAUCUUCUUUUGAAAAGGAUGUGUUGCCUGACAGUGACGCCGCAAUCACAAGUCAUCUGGUAAAGCCUGAGACUCAGCAGCUUGAAUGCAAUUCAGCGUUUCCUGAUCAUAAGGGCUCCUGUGAACAUUUGACAGCAGCUUUAAAGGAUGAAAACCUCAUGAAGAAAAGGAGUCUGAAUCUUCAGGUGAAAAGGAAAAGACAAGGAAUCUGCCUUGGCUGAAUCAACUAACAUUUCUACAGAGAGCAGUGAGGCAGAAGACCCAUUCUUUGGAUGUAGUUUGCCACAGGAGCCCUGUUUCUUUUUUAUUGACAAAAAAAGAAUGGCAAGACCUGAGGAAGCGUCGGAAAGGAAGAUGUUUUCAAGGAUUACAGUGGACAAAUGGGGAAUGAGGUCAAUUCACCCAUACUGCAGUUUUGGUUUCACUCGCCACAGUAUCAAAACCCUGCAGUCACUAAAAAACACACCUCUAUUCAAAUGUUUGGGUUACUGCCGGUUUGAAGACUGCCCCAUUAAUGUUACUGUGGAAGUCACAGAUGAAUUCACCCUGAAGGCAGCUGUGCAGUUCACAGGAGGAGAUGUGUGCCACAGUACUACUGAGCUAAAAAGGAGUCAGUGUGUGCAGAUUCAUGUACAUCCACUGGAGAAACUCUGGAAACCAAAUUACCCAGAAGUGUCUAUUUGGAUUCUAUAGUAAAACUCCCAGAGAAGGUGAUGCAGUCUGGGUGCAGAGAUGAAGCGCCAACAAAAGAGGCUCUGAAAACCAUUGCAUGGAGCCAAAGACAACUGAAAAGACCUCAUUCAAAUGAACUUCUAAGUCUCCAAAUGCUAAUUAAUGGGGUCAUGAUGCACCCAAAAGGCAUAAUGCUGUGGUCAAAGAAAACGCUGACAGUGUUUUACAAAAGGUGCAAGGAGGACAUUGUCUAUCUGGUUGCAACUGGAAGUAUAAUUCAAAAAGGAAGCUCCACAAGUCCACCAAUACUAAGUGUAUGAAUUAGUUGUGCGUAAUCCUUCCCACGGCGCAUCUCCUCUUCCAGUUGCAACCUACCUAACUUGUGUCACAUACUUUUUGCAGGCUUUUCAAACAGGCAUGAUGAAGCUCUAUGGGAAAAAAGCAGUCAAAAGGCCAAUUAUGAUCAUUUAUGAUGGCUCCCUUGCAGGGAUGGGCAGUAUUUAUGAUACAUGUAUUUCAAAUACAAAAUAGUAUUUUGUAAUUUGUAUUUGAUAGGGUUGAUGAAAAUGGCUUUGCAUUUUGUAUCAAAAUACUUUAGAGUUUUGUAUUUUUGUAUUUAUAAAUAGUCUACAUGAUGACAUCAUAAAAUUGCAGCCUCUGAUUGGUCCUUACUCAGUAGUUUGCCCAGACUUGUUGAGAUCAGAGCAGAAAAUUUAUCCAUAUGGAAGAAGGUGGUCAAGAAACGUGCAGAAACGUUUCUUGACCACGUUUCGUUUCCCCCCAUAUUUAUGAUUAAUUAAUACCCUAAAUAUUAAGUGAUUAAUUAGUGCUGUGAAUACAGCUGCCAUCAGUUGUCUUCUAAUGAAUUACUUGUUUGUCAUUGAGUCAGUGUUGCUGAAGGAAAGUAGGCCCUUCAUUACCAAACACCAAGUAACUAAAUUAGGAAACUGUUGGUUACUUUAAAACUAACCUUCAUCUGGGGGAUCACAGGGAUAUGUUAAUAUUUGAUCUGUUAAAGUCACAAUAUGUAAAUUUUCACCCUAGAGGUCACUUAUUCAAAACAGAAUAAGAGUUUGGAGAGGAGAGUCAUGCUGAAACAAGACCAAAUCCAGGACAACAUCACAUCAGCGGUUGGACAAUGAUGCAGAACCUCUGCCUCUGAUCUCACAGAGGUGCUAGAGGAGCCCUGUAAGACUGUGGAGGAACUAGAGGAGCUGUGUGAGAAGCUGAAAGAUGCUGACUUUCCAAAGAAGAUGAUUCGUUAUCUGUGUCAUCAGAGUGGAAGCAGCUUGGGAGAUGGAGUUAGGAGGAUGCUGAAAAAAUUGGGGAUAAUUUCUUAUGGGGACGCUACAGUUACAAAGGGAGAAAGGGAAAACUUCC